GUGCUGAUGAAGAGUCCAAAACUAGGACGAAACAGCUGUUCAGUAC
rnacentral:hammerhead_ribozyme from 1 species